rnacentral:rRNA from 1 species
GGUCGCAGCCUGAUCCAGCCAUGCCGCGUGUGUGAAGAAGGUCUUCGGAUUGUAAAGCAGUUUCAGUUGGGAGGAAGGGGAGUAAGUUAAUACCUUGCUGUUUUCACGUUACCAACAGAAUAAGCACCGGCUAACUUCGUGCCAGCAGCCGCGGGAAUACGAAGGGUGCAAGCGUUAAUCGGAAUUACUGGGCGUAAAGCGCGCGUAGGUGGUUUGGUAAGAUGGAUGUGAAAUCCCCGGGCUCAACCUGGGAACUGCAUCCAUAACUGCCUGACUAGAGUACGGUAGAGGGUGGUGGAAUUUCCUGUGUAGCGGUGAAAUGCGUAGAUAUAGGAAGGAACACCUGUGGCGAAGGCGACCACCUGGACUGAUACUGACACUGAGGUGCGAAAGCGUGGGGAGCAAACAGGAUUACAUACCCUGGUAGUCCACGCCGUAAACGAUGUCAACUAGACGGUUGGAUCCUUGAGAUCUUAUUGUCGCAGCUAACGCGAUAAGUCAACCGGCUGGCGACUACUGCCGCAAGGUUCACACUCAUAUGAAUUGACGGA